UUUGCCCUCAGGAUGUGAGC
rnacentral:misc_RNA from 1 species